UGCCGAAACAAAUCAAUUGCUGGCAAAUUGACCUGCAAUUGAGGAAGCAACUGCAGUUCAAAUGAACAAGGUUGUUGAACCCAGAUUUGCGACUUGAUCCUGACAUGUUAAGGUUCAGUGCACGUUCACUUGUAGAAGCUUCCUCUGCACAACAAGCUGCUGUUCAAGUAAACAGUCGACCAUCUGCUGGUAGUAACAAUCAAGGUGGAGUAGAUCAAGAAAUGGAUGAUGAAGACAAUGAAGAACUAGACCUUACUUGAGAAGAAUUUUGAAUUGUUUUAGAUGAAUGUUCUAGGAAUCUUUUGUUACCAACAUUUUUGAAACUUACUUACUCUCUUGAAAUGUACUAAACUUAUGCACUCAUGGGGUAGAACAUUUGCUUUAUGGAUAUUAUUUGCUUGAUGGAUAA